rnacentral:rRNA from 1 species
UACGGGGGAUGCAAGCGUUAUCCGGAUUUAUUGGGCGUAAAGCGUUCGUAGAUGGUUAUUUAAGUUUAAUGUUAAAUUCUAAGGCUUAACCUUAACAAUGCAUUAAAAACUGAGUGACUUUAGUACAAUAGGGGUAAAGGGAAUUUCCAGUGUAGCGGUGAAAUGCGUAGAUAUUGGAAAGAACGCCUACAGCGAAAGCACUUUACUGGGUUGUUACUGAAAUUGAGGGACGAAAGCUAGGGGAGCAAACGGG